UGCAACACGUACAGAUGCAACAACAGUUGGACAGUGGGCCUGUGGAAUGAGUUGGGCUGCAUUUCUUUUGUGUUUUCUCAUUCGUAACCUGUCUCUGACCUGGAAUCUGGCAUUACACCCACCAUUGUUGCAUGCGGGUUCUUCUGGCUGAUCUCCCUGCAUGCCUGCUGGGUGUGCAGUACAUGGCAGGGGAUGUGGCUAGGCUAAUCCCACCUGGGUGGAGAGGCUUGGAGAAGCCUGCAUCAUCAUGAAUCUAGCAGAACUCUCUGUCUUAACACAAAUAUUGUGGCUCCAGCUAUUUCCAGUAGUGCUUGCUUCCACAGUGCAUGCUCUUGAAACUAUUGACUGCCUUAAGGUGCUGCUGAGUGCUGGAUGGAGGGAAAAAUAUCACAUACACUUCUCUUGAGCUGUAGUCAGAUGCAGGAGGAACGUGAAAAGGUACUUCAUGCAUUGGCUGUAGUUGUGCAAUAGUUGUCAAGAGAGUGGUUUUGGAAUCAGAAAGCCUGAAUUUCACUCAGUUCCAGUCUAAAGCUCAAAGUGUGCAUCUCACACCUGUGGAGAAAAAGAGGAAGACACCAGGAGGGUUAUAGAAAUAUGAGAGAUGAGCACAUGUGCUUGGGACAAGUCAACUCACUAAACCCGGAACAGGUCCCAGCAUGGUUUCUACUUGUGUGCCUACAUGAUCAUCAUCAACUUCCAUGGCACCACAAAGUCCCAAAGUAUUUAAGAACAGAAAAUCCACAGAAGAUACAUUUUCUUGGAUUCUGUGCAACAUUAAAUACCCUUUCUAGCAUCCUGGAGAACAUCCUGUCAAUGCUUGCUUUCAGUGCUUGAGUCCACCAGCUCUUCCUGAGUACUGACUGAGUGCAGCACCACUAAGGACUGUACCAGAUCAUUCCCAGUGUGUAAGGCAGACAGUGUAAGAAGCCCAUACAAGCAUACCUGGAAAUGAAGACAUUGGCCAUACACAGGUUUCUCUUGGGCAUCAAACAUUGUGCAGCAGUCAACAUUUGCAAGUACAAGGCUCGAGGUCCACAAACAGGACAUUAAACUCUUCUUCUUUUUAAAAGUUAA